rnacentral:tRNA from 1 species
GAAAUAUUCAAUAAUUAAGCUGCUAACUUAAUUUAUAGUGAAUUAAAUCAUUAGUAUUUCU